rnacentral:lncRNA from 1 species
UUCUCAACCAUAUGGUACCUAUACAGUCUUGUAGAUUUAGAUGAGCCAGGGAGGUUCCCCUGAAACAAAAGGAGGUAUUCUCCUCUGCCCUGUUUGCCUUUCAUAUGUGCUUCAUCACUUACAUAAGGUGAAACCUCUGUCCUUCCUAGAAAUGCGUCAAAAAAUUCCCCAUGUAGUCACAACAAUACAUGCUCAAAGUAUAGAAACCCGUUAUAGAGGAGCAUUCUUACAUGUGAUAGACUCUGUCUAUAAUUAACAGAAUGUAAUGAUUUCAAGCCCAUUUUCAACUAUACUAUAGUAUGCUGGACAGUGAGGGAAGGAGGAGGAAAGAUGGAUGGGAAAGGAAGGAAGAGAAGAAAGGAAGAAAAAAGAAAGGAAGGAAAAGAAAGAAAGACUUGGCCCAAUAACUGCUUCUUAGGAGCCUACAACUGAAGACAAAUGAAAGCAAUAUAUAUUGUACCGGUCAUAAAAGUGAUCCAGUGCCAGCAUGGACAGUUCUGUGUUUGGAUUUGACAUUUGCAUUUACAGACAUGGUGAAGUGCCAUGGAUGAGCAGUUUUUCAGUUGUCUAUAUGCUUGACCCAGUGCUAGGCUCUGGGGUUGGACAUGAUCAUAUAUAAUUCACUUUCUUUCCUGUUAAGGGAUGACAAAGGCAGUACCACCAAGGCUGGUCUCAAGGAUGAUGGCUUGGUUUUGAACAACACUGCAUUCAUUUUGUUCAGCUACCAAAUCAAGCAAGGAAGUAAUGUAAAUCAGACAACCAGAUAGAUCUAGCAUCCUUGGUGGCUUUCAUAGGUUCAGUUCCCCAUUGCUACCUUGUCACCUAUGGAAGCACACUUGAAAGCAGGCUUUUCUACCUUCAUGGAGUGAGAGAGCAGCUUGGGAAUUCCUGCUGUGAUGCAGUGGGUUAAGAAUCUGGUUGCAGUGGCUCAGGUUGCUGCAGAGGUGCAGGUUUGAUCGCCUGGCCUGGGGUAGCAGAUUAAGGAUAUGGCCAUUGCCACAGCUGCAGGUUCAUUCCCUGGCCUGGGAACUUCCAUAUGCUGUGGGUGCAUCCAUUAAAACAAACAAGCAAACAUACAAAAACAAAACCCUGUCAUCAAUUUUCAGAGAAGUUAGGGAAUGUUACCCACUUUUAUUUCUGAUUUCAUAUUUGUAAUUUGUUGAAUAAAAAUUCUACGAACUUCAGACCCAUGACACUUAGAACCCAUCCCUAAACAUUUAUGUUCUGUUUUUUUUUGCCUAUUUCCAAAUAUCUCAGCUUAUUUAUGUAAUAUUUUACUUUUUGUUAUUUCUUUUUUUUUCUUCGUUUAUUUUUUGGGGCCUCAUGAAAAGCAUAUGGAAGUUCCUACACUAGGGGUCAAAUCAGAGCUAUAGCUGCUGGUCUACACAGCCAUAGCAACACCAGAUCCAAGCCGUGUCUGUGACCUACACCACAGCUCAUGGCAAUGCCAGAUCCUGGACCCACUGAGCAAGGCCAGGGAUUGAACCUGAAUCCUUAGGUGUAGUAGUCAGAUUUGUUUCCAGUGCACCGCAACGGGAACUCCACUUUUUACUAUUUCAUAUUUAGUUGUUAAUAUCCAAAGAGAAUAAAAUCAUCAUUAGUAGUAGUUAAUACUUAUAACUAAGUGCUACGCAUUGUUCUACAUGCAUUACAUAAACAUUAACUUAAUCCUUUCAAUGACCAUAUGAGAUUGAUACUGUUAUAAUCUGUUUUACAGAUAGAAAACAAGAAUAGGAAGUCUAUGAUCUAAGAUUACACAGUAAGUGGCAGUGCUGGGAUUUGAACUAAGGAUGUAUGGCUUUAGAAUCCAGGCAUGUAAACUCUACUGCUAUGUAUAUAUAUAUAUGAAAACUUUCAAAGAAAUAUAAAAUAUAGAAAGAUAAUAAUAUUACAAAGCAAAAAUAAGCAUGUGUUCAUAAAAUAGAUCCAAAACUGAAGUUAUUACUCAAAAUGACUACCAUAAAUUGCAAUAUGCUUGUUAAGGAGUGUAGGCUAAGUUUAGCUCUAAGCUUUUAUUGCAGUCAAGGAAGUAUCAUAUGUAUCAUUCAGCGAACCUGUGGGAAAGUUGUAUUUUUCCUUAGACAAAUCAAGGUAAAUCUGUACAUUUAGGACCCUGAAUCCUAUUCAACAUAGUACUGCAAAUCGAGGCUAGAUUUUCACCAUGAUGCACGUUAUGACACUUAGUAUUGGAACAUUGCUGCUUAUAGACAUAUGUUCUACAGUUACCUAGUUUUAAAAUACUGUAUAUGCUAAAGGGAUUGCAUGGCAUAAAUGAGAUUAAUAUCCAUAACUCAGUUACUAAAAAGCUUAACCAGUGAUUUAGUCAAACAGAACACAAUUUUUACUCCCUCCAUAAUAUUAAACUUCAUUGAAAGGAGUAAAAGUCUCUUGGCACUAAAGGAAAACUCUGAUAGUCCCAUGAACUUUUGCUGACUUUUAAGUACUGUAGCCACAAACAGUUGCUCAAUUAUCUAAGUUCAGUUUCCAGAUCUGUGUAAUAUUCAAAAUUUUGAGGUUGCUUUAUUAGCAGAUCUUCUCCCUUUGCUCAUUUUGGGUUGGCUUCAGGCCCUUGGUUUUCCUGUUUUGGGUUUUGUUUUAUUUUUGCAGUGUACUGCAAGCUGUAUUCUCUGGUCUAAAGGCCACAUACAACCUCUCCCAUGGAAUACUUUCAUGGUCUUUUCAUAAUUUGGUGCUAAACCCAUUCAGCCGCAGUUUCCUUGACUGAGGCAGACAAAUCUCUAUUCUGGGUGGGCAUUUUCAACUUCUUCCAUACCCCCGACUAGUUUGGUAUUCACCUCCAGCUUCCUGAUGCUUGGGCCCACCAGCUUCUCUAAAAACGACUGCUAGAUAGGACUGAGUUCUGGAUAUAGCCCUAACCCUAAUCCUUACUGCAAAUCUCUUCUGGGAGCCCGCAUACUUACCAAUGGGAAACCGUCCUUUACUGCUGUUCCUGUGAUCCAGUGCUGCAUAGCUAACUACCCCCAAAUCUAGUGGCUUAACACAGCAACUAUUUUAUCUCAUUAUUUUUUGUAGCAAGGAUUCGGGAAUGGGUUGGGUAUUUCUUCUGCUUCAUGUGACACUGGUGGAAGUCACUCCAGGGUACAGCUGGAGGAUAGACUGGUCUUGUGUCUAAGACUUAAAUGUUUAGUAUUUUGGUUUGGAUUAGCUUGAAAGUUGGCUGUCAUCCAGAGUGUUUAACCAUGGCUUCUCUAGCAUGGUGGUGUCUGGGUGGACAGUUUUUUAUAUUUUAGAGCACUAGAGAGAGUGCUCUAAAAGAGAGGCAGUGGGCCAAAAUGGCACUUUGUCAUUUCCACUGUAAUUUAUUGUCAGGACAGUCACAGAGCUUACCUAAAGUCAAGGAUAAGGAAUAUAGCCUCUAAAAAUACAUAGCCUUUACAUAGAGGACUGUAUAUAAAAAGCUGUUAUUAUCUUUGGUCCCCAUGGCGGCUGACAAGCUCUGUGAGUACAGGUCAGACUCCAUGUGCUAUUUCUAUUUUGUUGCCAGAGCACUUUUUAGUUUUCUCUUCCAAGAAUCUGGCGCCCUUAGGCUGCAUCGCUCAACUACACUGAAUGCAUUUCAAAAUUCUUCAUGUGAUCCUGUAAAAGUCCCCACACAAGGCUUGAAGUGGGAGUGGGGACUCAUAGCAAGAAAGCAGCUGUGUCCAAAGAAAUCUCUCCACCCAUCUUCCCCUCUCCCCACAUUCUAAUGCCUACUGAUAUCUUUGAUCCAGUUGAGGGUUCCAGGAGUUGUGCAAUGAUUCUGACACAUUUCCUUUGUAAAUUUUGCAUGUGGGGAUUUGUCUGGCACUGGCUUUGAUUUAUGACAUAGAAUGUAUUGGCACCUCAGUCGAAACUAAGGCAUAAAGACUUCCAUUUUAACAUCCUGUUAGGGGGAGACUAGGAGGAGUUUGGUGACAGAAGAACUUAUGUUUUAGAUGAUCAUCAAGGCAGAAAGGGAUGUGGGCCCAAUUUGUUGCAGGUGUGCUGAGGAAAAGAAGCCCUACAGCCCCCAGGACACAGGGGGAGAGGACCUUGAAGCUGUCUUCUCUUGAUUCAGCUGUGGCCUCAGAGUAGGGUGGUGAAGAGAUCCUGCUGGCUGCAGGGAAGGGUAGGCAGUGGUGGGCACUCAACUGCACCCUUGCACGGGCUGUGGGCCUUCAGCUGCAAAGGCAGCUGUUCUGUGAGAUGUAAGAGUGGAGGUGGGGUGUCUGCGCAGGAGUGGAGCAGACUGCUGGGAAGGGUUCAGACUUCUUGUGGGUACCUCUGCCAGGUGACCUUAAGGAGUCAGUCUACAUGGGUGCUCCUCCAUCACUGGAACAGGUGAAUAACAGGAAGGGUGAGAAACUACAGAGAGAAAGUAUGUCCAUCUGAAGUCCUUGGGGAGAACCCGGCUUAUGGCUAAAAGUGAUGCUUCAUAAGCUAUCUAGGAGUGAGACCCCUAAGAGCCUGCUCAAGUCACAAAAAUGUUUGCUAAACGUCAGUUCUAAGUCUUGUGGACUUACACUCCUUGUGGACUUAGGUUACCAGAGUAGCCAAGUGGCGAUCAGAGCAUUUCUUUUCCAGCCAAUAUCUGUGUUCACAAAGUGACUUCCUUUUUUAAAGAGUAAAUUAUUAAAGAGGUGAGAAAGAGUAACUUUACAGUGGAGAAACAUGAAAAUCACUACCUCAGCCAAACGGCCAAGGUUCAUAGCACCUGUGACAAGUUGUGCUGACAGCAUGUACCCUUGAUGUGAGAAAUGGCACUUCACCUCCAUGAUCUUCCUGCUAAGGACCCAUUACCCCAGUCUAAUCAUGACAAAAAUAUCAGACAAUCUCUGAUUGAGGGACAUGCUACAAAAAUAUGUGACCAGUACUCUUAGACUUGUCGAGGUCUUUAAAAAUAAGUGGAAUUCCCGUCGUGGCGCAGUGGUUAACGAACCCGACUAGGAACCAUGAGGUUCGGUUCGAUCCCUGCCUUUGCUCAGAGGGUUAAGGAUCCAGCAUUGCCAUGAGCUGUGGUGUAGGUCACAGACUUGGCUUGGAUCCCGCAUUGCUGAGGCUCUGGCGUAGGCUGGUGGCUACAGCUCCGAUUCGACCCCUAGCCUGGGAACCUCCAUAUGCUGCGAGAGCGGCCCAAGAAAAUGGC